AAAUUCUAUGACACCAUUAUUUGACAAGAAUUUAAUAGAAACAUUAGUGUAAAAUGUAUUGAACAAAUUCUGAGCCUUUACGUUGUGAUUUCGGUGGAAAAAAAAAGGACGUACGGACUUCAAAUGGGUCUUCUUCUCAUUGGCAUCUCUUCUAGAGCCAAGACCUCAUCAAAAUUUCCCUCAAAUGAUUCGUCUUCCCAUUGACAUCUCUUCUGGAGCAACCAAGAGCCUCAUGUGCAAACCAUUAGCUAUGAACUCAUGUGCAACAUAUCUUCUUUUCCACCUCUGAUCUGCUCCAAGCUUGAUCCUUCACCACCAUCGAGAGUUUCCACAACCAUGACAUGUGCUAAUAGAGCCACCAGUGAUUUCCACCACCUGUGCGACUUCUCCAACUCUCUCCUCUUCUUCAUGGCUCUCUCUCUCUCCUCUUCUCCCUUUCUCUCUUUUUUUGUGUUAACGAGAUUACUGCCUCUUUCAUCACAUCUCCACAUGAGACCUCACUUCUCCUAUUUUCUCGUAUCCUCCAGAGAUGCCAUGUGACCAUGUCUUAGCCGUGUCUCUCUUUCUAUCUGACGGGGUUGAUCGAGAAUCAACCACGGUGACUCAAAAUGAAACAACGCCAAACGACGGCAAUGACACAACAACUUCAGAUUGAUCUCCUUAUCCUCGUGAACACAAGCUAAGAUGAGAAUGACACGCUUGCUUUGGUAGCUGCGACAUCUGCAAGGUUUCGGGUGUGCUCGUGAGUCGUGAAUCGUGAUGCUCUGUUUUUGUUAACGUGAGAACAACAAAACAUGUUUGUUAUUGGACGAACAAUAACGUGAGAACAAUUAUUUGAUACACAUCAGUGCUGAAGCAUGUUUGUUAUUUUAUUCUUUAUGGAUAUGCUCCAAUUUUAUUAGAUAAGAAUGUUGUUGCUAGAUUUUCGAUACUUUUGAAAUUUAUUUGUUUAUUAUAAAAUCUAUCAACCAUAUAUCGUAAAAUCCCAAAAAAAUAGUAUUAGUUACACUUACUUCUCCUAUAUAAUAUUGGUGAUCAUUUCCUUACUUCUCAAAAAAAAAAAAACAACGAUCAUCUCCUAAAACCAGUUUGAAGAAAAACCACAAUCAUCCUUCAAUGGAAUCAGGAGACCAGGCAGGAGAGACGUCAAAAAAGAAAAAGAAAGGCCCAUAUAUGUCAUGGUCAGAUCAAGAAUGUUAUGAGUUAACGGCUAUAUUAGUUGAUGCUAUCAAACGGGGCUGGCGUGACAAAAACGGUACCAUAAGCAAAACUACGGUAGAGAA